rnacentral:lncRNA from 1 species
ACCAGGAAGAAGAUAUGAACAAUCAUAUUUCAGGGUGCGCUGUAGAACAUGAGUAAGAGAAAGAAGAGCAGCGUAAGCCAUUAUUGUUCUCUCCUAUCACAGCUUGAAAGAUAGAAAAUUGAAGCAAAAAUGAAGCAAUCAGAUCUGUUCCACCCAGCACAUUAUGCAAAUAGAUAUUGUUUUAAGAAUGUUGAUAGCAAUUUGCAGUUUCUUAAUUGAAUAAAAGGCCGGCAAUGUAGAUUUUGAGAAGAAAAGCUUAUCAACUUGCAAUAAAAAUAUUUGUUUAUUAAAUGGAUGUAGACUUCGUACCACAGGAUCUGUUCCACCCAACACACUAUGCAAGUGUAUAUUUCUUAAGAAUGUUGAUAGCAAUUUGCAGUUUCUUAAUUGAAUAAAAGGCCGGCAAUGUAGAUUUCAAGAAGC